UAAGGAAUAUUGGACAAUGCCCGCAAGGGUGAUCCAGCCAUGCCGCGUGCAGGAAGAAGGCCCUAUGGGUCGUAAACUGCUUUUGAACAAGAGAAAACCCUCCUACGUGUAGGAGGCUGAUAGUAUUGUUAGAAUAAGCAUCGGCUAACUUCGUGCCAGCAGCCGCGGUAAGACGAAGGAUGCAAGCGUUAUCCGGAUUCAUUGGGUUUAAAGGGUGCGUAGGCGGCCCGGUAAGUCAGUGGUGAAAGCCUGUUGCUUAACAACAGAACUGCCAUUGAUACUGCUGGGCUUGAGUACAGAUGCUGUGGGCGGAAUAUGACAUGUAGUGGUGAAAUACAUAGAGAUGUCAUAGAACACCGAUUGCGAAGGCAGCUCACAAAACUGUAACUGACGCUGAGGCACGAAAGUGCGGGGAUCAAACAGGAUUAGAUACCCCUGUAGUCC
rnacentral:rRNA from 1 species